GACGAACGCUGGCGGCGUGCUUAACACAUGCAAGUCGAACGAUGAAGAAAAGAAUCCAAGCUUCGGCAGAAAUUCAUUUCGGAUUAGUGGCAGACGGGUGAGUAACGCGUGAGCAACCUACCUCUUACAAAGGGCUAGCCUCGGGAAACCUGGAUUAAUACCAUAUAACAUUGUGCCGAAGCAUUUCGAUGCAAUCAAAGCUACGGCGGUAAGAGAUGGGCUCGCGUCCCAUUAACCGGAUGGUGAGGUAACUGCUCACCAUAGUGACGAUGGGUAACCGGGCUGAGAGGGUGAACGGUCACACUGGAACUGAGACACGGGCCAGACUCCUACGGGAGGAGGCAGUGGGAAAUAUUGCACAAUGGAGGGAACUCUGAUGAAGCGACGCAGCGUGAAUGAUGAAGGAAUUCGUUUCGUAAAACUAUGUUCUAUGAGAAGAAAAGGAAUGUACCAUAGGAGAAAGCUCCGGCUAAAUACGUG
rnacentral:rRNA from 1 species